rnacentral:rRNA from 1 species
AGCGAACGCUGGCGGCAGGCUUAACACAUGCCAGUCGAACGGGCUUCUUCGGAAGUCAGUGGCAGACGGGUGAGUAACACGUGGGAACGUGCCCUUCGGUUCGGAAUAACUCAGGGAAACUUGAGCUAAUACCGGAUACGCCCUUAUGGGGAAAGGUUUACUGCCGAAGGAUCGGCCCGCGUCUGAUUAGCUUGUUGGUGGGGUAACGGCCUACCAAGGCGACGAUCAGUAGCUGGUCUGAGAGGAUGAUCAGCCACACUGGGACUGAGACACGGCCCAGACUCCUACGGGAGGCAGCAGUGGGGAAUAUUGGACAAUGGGCGCAAGCCUGAUCCAGCCAUGCCGCGUGAGUGAUGAAGGCCUUAGGGUUGUAAAGCUCUUUUGUCCGGGACGAUAAUGACGGUACCGGAAGAAUAAGCCCCGGCUAACUUCGUG